rnacentral:rRNA from 1 species
CCUACGGGAGGCAGCAGUGAGGAAUAUUGGUCAAUGGGCGAGAGCCUGAACCAGCCAAGUCGCGUGAGGGAGUACUGCCCUAUGGGUUGUAAACCUCUUUUGUCGGGGAGCAAAAGCCGGACGUGUCCGGCUGUGAGAGUACCCGAAGAAAAAGCAUCAGCUAACACCGUGCCAGCAGCCGCGGUAAUACGGAGGAUGCGAGCGUGAUCCGGAUUUAUUGGGGUUAAAGGGAGCGCAGGCGGAUUUUUAAGUCAGCGGUCAAAUCGUGGGGCUCAACCCCAUCCAGUCGGUGAAACUGGGUAUCUAGAGUGUGUGAGAGGUAUGCGGAAUGCGUGGUGUAGCGGUGAAAUGCAUAGAUAUCACGCAGAACCCCGAUUGCGAAGGCAGCAUACCGGUGCACAACUGCCGCUCAGGCACGAAAGCGUGGGUAUCGAACAGGAUUAGAUACCCAGUAGUC